GACGAACGCUGGCGGUGUGCUUCACACAUGCAAGUCGAACGAGGUAGCAAUACCUAGUGGCGGACGGGUGAGUAACGCGUGGGAAUCUGCCCAUAGGUGGGGGAUAACUAGCCGAAAGGUUAGCUAAUACCGCAUAUGCCGAAAGGUAAAAGGAGUAAUCCGCCUUUGGAUGAGCCCGCGUCCGAUUAGCUAGUUGGUAGAGUAAAAAGCCUACCAAGGCGACGAUCGGUAGCUGGUCUGAGAGGAUGAUCAGCCACAAUGGGACUGAGACACGGCCCAUACUCCUACGGGAGGCAGCAGUGGGGAAUUUUACGCAAUGGGGGAAACCCUGACGUAGCGACACCGCGUGAAUGAAGAAGCCCUUUGGGGUGUAAAAAUUCUGUCGGCUGGGAAGAAAAAAAUGACGGUACCAGCAAAGGAAGCAUCGGCUAACUACGUGCCAGCAGCCGC
rnacentral:rRNA from 1 species